rnacentral:sRNA from 1 species
CCCGGAUGAGUUGGCUUGCAAGUACCGCAUUGUCCCUUCUAAAAGUCUCCCGGUCGGGACUCGACUCCUUUCGGGGGGUUCCUUCCUUCGCGGUUCAUAUGGGGGUCCUUCCUUCCUUCCUUCGGGAGGGGGAGGGACUCUCGGACCCGGAGGCGGGGAUCCGCGCGAGCUCGAUUGGAGGAGGGUCCCGGCCCCGGGGGUAACAACCACAAUCUCGUCGAUUGCGCAAUGCAUCAACACUUUGACCCACGACUGAGUCCCUUUAAACACAGUGAGGAGUUCGGCCCCUUUUUGAACACGGGCGGGACCCUCAUUUAUAAAGAGUCCCGCCCUUGUCCCAUGGGGGGUCCGCUCCCGAGUUGUUGAAUCUAUAACUUAGAAACAACUCUCAGCAACGGAUAUCUUGGCUCUUGCAACGAUGAAGAACGCAGCGAAAUGCGAUACGUAGUGUGAAUUGCAGAAUUCCGCGAAUCAUCGAGUCUUUGNACGCAAGUUGCGCCCGAGGCUUGUCCGAGGGCAUUUCCGCUAGAGCGUCACCGCGCUCCCCCACCGACCCGCCAAGAAAGUACUUUCUUGGCGGAAUUCGUCGAGUGGAAGUGGCCGUCCCGAUGGCGGCGGACCUCGAUGAGAUCCGUCGAUCGGGUCGGCUGAAAUGGAUGGAAUUUGGCCGUCGUGGCGACGGAGCCCCGCGAUCAGGUGAUCCGAGCGAGAGCCCGGAACUCAAACGUGCGAGGCUUUCGUCGCCCAGUUGGAUUUGGAUUGGGAUGGGUUUAACAACCCCGUGUCAUGAACGAGUUCCCUCGAAAAGAAAAGCAGGUCUCAUGCGUGUUGUUGGGCCCCGUCAUGCGUGGCGGGGCGACGAUGGUACCCCCAGAGUUGUAGUAGUAACGACAUCAGA